GUCCACGCCGUAAACGAUGGGUGCUAGGUGUGGGGGUGUCAACUCCCUCCGUGCCGAAGCUAACGCAUUAAGCACCCCGCCUGGGGAGUACGGCCGCAAGGCUAAAACUCAAAGGAAUUGACGGGGGCCCGCACAAGCAGCGGAGCAUGUGGUUUAAUUCGACGCAACGCGAAGAACCUUACCAAGGCUUGACAUGCAUUUGAAAAACGUGGAAACACGUUCCCUCUUCGGAGCAAAUGCACAGGUGGUGCAUGGCUGUCGU
rnacentral:rRNA from 1 species